rnacentral:rRNA from 1 species
GCGGUGGAGCAUGUGUUAAUUCGACGCAACGCGCAGAACCUUACCGUGGGCUUGACAUCCGCGGAACCUUAUGAAAGUAGGGGUGCCCUUCGGGGAGCCGCGAGACAGGUGCUGCAUGGCUGUCGUCAGCUCGUGUCGUGAGAUGUUGGGUUAAGUCCCGCAACGAGCGCAACCCUUAUCUUCAGUUGCCAUCAUUGAGUUGGGCACUCUGAAGAAACUGCCGGUGUCAAACCGGAGGAAGGUGGGAUGACGUCAAAUCAGCACGGCCCUUAUGUCCAGGGCUACACACGUGUUACAAUGGUCGGUACAGAGGGCAGCUACCUGGUGACAGGAUGCUAAUCUCGAAAACCGGCCUCAGUUCGGAUCGAAGUCUGCAACUCGACUUCGUGAAGCUGGAUUCGCUAGUAAUCGCGCAUCAGCCAUGGCGCGGUGAAUACGUUCCCGGGCCUU